GGAAAGUUAUUUUGCUGUAAAACAGAGAAAAAAAAACAAGUUAAAAGUUAAAAAUAAGCGCUGAGAGCUUAUUUAAAGUCUUUAUUGACUUCUCACUGAACAGAAAACGCAGGAGAGAAACGCUUUUGGUGGAAAAACGCCGGAUUUAUUGGAAUAUUUGCGCUGAUUUGAUAUUGAAGAUGAUCAGCGUUUGAUUCCUCGUCUCUGUGGUGCAGAAAACUGCAGGAAAUGGAACAGAAAAGAAGUUUGGAGGAGAACAAAUAUAAUACACA